rnacentral:rRNA from 1 species
UACGUAGGGGGGCAAGCGUUGUCCGGAUUCAUUGGGCGUAAAGAGCGUGUAGGCGGCCAGGUAGGUCGGUUGUGAAAACUGGAGGCUCAACCUUCAGAGGUCGACCGAAACCAUCUGGCUAGAGUCCGGGAGAGGAGAGUGGAAUUCCUGGUGUGAGCGGUGAAAUGCGCAGAUAUCAGGAGGAACACCGAUGGCGAAGGCAGGUCUCUGGGCCACUACUGACGCUGAGAAGCGAAAGCAUGGGAGCGAACAGG